AUGAAGGCAGAUGGCUGGGUAAUUCUCCCAACAGUUUGGGACAAUCAACAAUGGAAAGCUCGCGCAGAUGAGAGAAUUCAUGCCCACAAACAUUCCACUUUUCCCAUUUAUACAAGUACUCGAGGCGCAGAGUCUGGAGAGCUGGAAAAGGAUUUGAAUUCAUAUCAAUUGCUUUUACAUUGGGAAACCCUUCAAUAACGAAGUCCUUGAGAGAGGAAAGCAGCCCAAGUUGUGGCAAGGUUGUGCAAUUCUUGCAAUUCAACAACUGUAGGCGCACCAGAUUGCUAAAUAAAGGAUCUCCUACCCACAAUGGAAAUUGAAUACCACCAUAAUUCCAUAUGGUGAGAUUUUUUAGAUUUCCAUGAGGUUUCAUCAUCUCAAGUACACCUCUAUCACCAUCUUCCAUCACCAGAUAGUCUAUUCUCUCCUUGUCCAGUAAAAUGGCUCCCCUUACAUCUGAAGCAUUAGACACAUUGUCCAAGCGUGAAAUGCGGAGUGCCCCUUGAAGGAAUUUC
rnacentral:misc_RNA from 1 species